rnacentral:rRNA from 1 species
CUAAGUUUGAUGGCGACCGGCGCACGGGUGAGUAACACGUAUCCAACCUGCCGAUGACUCGGGGAUAGCCUUUCGAAAGAAAGAUUAAUACCCGAUGGCAUAGUUCUUCCGCAUGGUAGAACUAUUAAAGAAUUUCGGUCAUCGAUGGGGAUGCGUUCCAUUAGGUUGUUGGCGGGGUAACGGCCCACCAAGCCUUGAUGGAUAGGGGUUCCGAGAGGAAGGUCCCCCACAUUGGAACUGAGACACGGUCCAA